AACGAACGCUGGCGGCAUGCCUAACACAUGCAAGUCGAACGAACCCUUCGGGGUUAGUGGCGCACGGGUGCGUAACGCGUGGGGAUCUGCCCAAAGGUUCGGAAUAACUCAGAGAAAUUUGAGCUAAUACCGGGAUAAUGUCUUCGGACCAAAGAUUUAUGCCUUUGGAUGAACCCGCGUAGGAUUAGCUUGUUGGUGGGGUAAAGGCCUACCAAGGCGACGAUCCUUAGCUGGUCUGAGAGGAUGAUCAGCCACACUGGGACUGAGACACGGCCCAGACUCCUACGGGAGGCAGCAGUGGGGAAUAUUGGACAAUGGGCGAAAGCCUGAUCCAGCAAUGCCGCGUGAGUGAUGAAGGCCUUAGGGUUGUAAAGCUCUUUUACCAGGGAUGAUAAUGACAGUACCUGGAGAAUAAGCUCCGGCUAACUCCGUG
rnacentral:rRNA from 1 species